rnacentral:rRNA from 1 species
UGGGGAAUAUUGCACAAUGGGGGAAACCCUGAUGCAGCCAUGCCGCGUGUGUGAAGAAGGCCUUCGGGUUGUAAGCACUUUCAGCGAGAGGAAAGUUGUUGGCUAAUACCAGCAACUGUGACGUUACUCGCAGAAGAGCACGGUUACUCCGUG